GAGGAAGUAAAAGUCGUAACAAGGUUUCCGUAGGUGAACCUGCGGAAGGAUCAUUAAUGAAACUUCAAAGUCGGCCAAAGGUUGUUGCUGGUGAUUAUUCACAUGUGCACGCCUUUGGUCGCAAAUCCACACACACCUGUGCAUCUAUGACUCGAGGUUGUAAUGACUGAGAGUAACUUUUAUACACUCUUGUAUGUAAUGGAAUGUCUUUUUGUGCUAUAAUGUACAAUAUAAACAACUUUCAACAACGGAUCUCUUGGCUCUCGCAUCGAUGAAGAACGCAGCGAAAUGCGAUAAGUAAUGUGAAUUGCAGAAUUCAGUGAAUCAUCGAAUCUUUGAACGCACCUUGCACCCUUUGGUAUUCCGAAGGGUACGCCCGUUUGAGUGUCAUUGUAAUCUCACUUCUACAACUUUAUUGUUGUUUGAAUGUGGACUUGGAUGUUGCCGUUUUAUCACGGCUCGUCUUAAAUGCCUGAGUGUACCCUGUUUUGCAGCGUAUCCAGUGUAAUAAACAUUUCACUAGAGUUGGUCGAARGACCGCGUUGACUAUAUGGGCUCUAUGCUUCAAACCGUCUGCCAUGUGGACAAUUUCUUGACAAUUUGACCUCAAAUCGGGUGGGACUACCCGCUGAACUUAAGCAUAUCAAUAAGCGGAGGAAAAGAAACUAACAAGGAUUCCCCUAGUAACGGCGAGUGAAGAGGGAAAAGCUCAAAUUUUAAAUCUGGUGUCUUUGACUCCCGAGUUGUAAUCUAGAGAAGUGUUUUCCGUGUYGGACCGUGUACAAGUUCCCUGGAACGGGGYGUCAUAGAGGGUGAGAAUCCCGUAUAUGCCAYGGACUACCGAUGCUCUGUGAUACACUCUCAACGAGUCGAGUUGUUUGGGAAUGCAGCUCAAAAUGGGUGGUAAAUUCCAUCUAAAGCUAAAUAUUGGCGAGAGACCGAUAGCGAACAAGUACCGUGAGGGAAAGAUGAAAAGCACUUUGGAAAGAGAGUGAAACAGUACGUGAAAUUGUUGAAAGGGAAGCGUUUGAAGUCAGUCGCAUCUGUUGGGGUUCAGCCUGGCUUUUGCCUGGUGUAUUUCCUUUCCGAUGGGUCAGCAUCAGUUUYGACCGAGGGAAAAAGACAUUUGGAAUGUGGCUGUCUUYGGGCAGUGUUAUAGCCUUGUGUUGUAUGUCUCGGUUGGGACUGAGGAUUGCAGCGCGCCAUAAAUGGCCGGGGGUCGCUCCUCUCGACACGCGCUUAGGAUGCUGGCAUAAUGGCUUUAAGCGACCCGUCUUG
rnacentral:rRNA from 1 species